UCACUGGAAUCAGAAGAUAGGGCAGACUUCCUGGGAUUCUUGCUUUAUUUGGAGGGGGAUUUUGAGCACACCAGAUACUUCUCUGAGUGUCAAACCACAGGUCUGAUGGCCACUCUUUCACGUGCUUAUGAAAUAAUGAGAUGAGCCAGCUGCCCUCUUCCAAGAUGGCAGCGGCUGCAGACCAGUUCCAGCUGCCCUGGCUCCCCGAGCUGUUCGAAGAGGGCAAGCAGCUCCUGGACGAAGUGGACGCCACCUGUGAGCCCACUGGCUCCCGGACAGUCCAGGCUAAGGAGGCCAGGGCGCUGGAGUCCCUGGAGCAGGCGGCCGAGAUGUUGGGGCAGCUCGACACGUUCAGCCUAAGCGAAGACCUGGAGGAGAUGGCUUCGGCCGACCUCAAGUACCUGCUGGUGCCGGCGCUGCGAGGAGCCCUGGUCCUGAAGCAGGUCUGGGCGGGCAGGCGUCUGCAGCAGCUGCAGCUGGCUCGGGAGCUCUUCCUGGACUACCUCGCCCGCUGCCAGUACUACCGCGUGGCGGAGUUGGAGCUGCCGCAGGCCGACGAGGGCGCGGAGGAGGAAGGCCGCGCUGCCAGCUCGGGGCCGGCGGGCCUGGUUGCCAUGGCAGCGCGGCGGCGGGCCACGGUGGGGCGCCGCCGGCAGCGGAAGGAGCUGGAGCGCAGGCUGGAGGCGCUGCAGGGGGCCGUGGACGGCGGGCUGGCCGACGAUGAGAGCGUCCGCGAGUACUACCUCCUCCACCUGCGCAGGUGGGUGGGCAUCAGCCUCGAGGAGAUCGAGGCCAUCGACCAGGAGACGCGGAUCCUGAGGGCCAGGGACGCCUGCGGAGAGACGUCGAGGUCGCACUUGCCUCCUCCGGAGAGGCCUCAGGCAUAGAGAAAAGAGAAUCAUGUUAAUAGCAAGAGACCAAUCAAGCAGCAGAUACCUGAGAAAAAGUACUGCUCCAUUCUGGCAUGUUGUUUCCAGGACAGUUAAGGAAGAUUCUGUUACUUGACACCAAGAUUGCUGCCUCAUUCAGUGGACUGACAGGCAUCUGAGAAUGACAAACAUGAAGAAAGGCACCGCCACUGUCAGUAGCUUGCGAGAGAAGCCUGGGCGAGAGUUCAAAAGGAGACGAUUUGUUCUCUGAAGAGUUAAGAACAAAGGACAACUACAUAAACCCAGGAGUGGGCCAGCGAUUUCUAAGUCAGAGAUUCAUGCAAUAAGAUUCUACAGGAAGCUAAGUCAUGUUUUCAGGAAAAGGACCCAUGUGUUUUUUCAUUCAGAACUUCUAUCUCAUCACUGUCAAAACAAAAAUCUAGACUUACUGAAGAAAGAGUAUUGGAAAGGAUAUUAUAAGAAGGAGAAAGGACUAUGCAAUAAGGAAAAUUUCCCAGUCAUGCAGCAAAGUUUAUGGUCAAGAUUUAGGCAAAAGGUUAUCUUUCAACAUGGAAAGUAAACAUGGAUAGAAAAAAACUAGGUAAAUAAGAAGGGGAGCAUCUGUGAGCCUUAUCUAAGACAUCUGAGGGAGGAGAUUUCUUGGCAGUAAGUUGUUUUUCAGAACACAAAAGAAUUGGUGGGAUGUUUCUUACCUAUCACAUUUUUCAGGAUCAGAGGA